rnacentral:lncRNA from 1 species
UGCAUUUCAAGGUUCCUUUUUAAAACAAGCUAGAUGAAACUGCCUUUAUGUGAUACUUUCCUUCGCCCUGCAAUAGAGAAGAUCAUUCAUUCUCAGCACCAUGUGAAAUAAGUCCCCUUCACUAAUAAUGCCUUUGAAAAUAUGGGUGUAAAAGAAUCGAAUUCUGGAAGAUGCUGAGGAGAUGUGUUUUAUUUUUCUAGUGGAUCUUUCCUACUUUUACUUCCCUUCAUGCCUGAACCUAAAGGACCUUUUUGAAGGAAGGAAAUUACUUCCUUUUGGAUGAAGAAAUCCUUGCAUCUACCUGUCUUGGUGUAACACCAAUGUUCUGCCAGGAUGUCUUAGGCAUAAAGAAAUAUGAGGACAGAGGCCACCCUUCCAGAGACAGAAGUGUUUCGUGUCUCCUGUUUCUGGCCCAUGGACUUGGGUAAGCAUUAAAGUGGUCAUCUCCUGCCUUUUAUGGUUCACCAGCCAAUGGGACAAAACCCUUGGAAUCAAGGAUUAGUCUGAUUGCAGGAGUCAAGUGCUUUUCUUCAGUUUGUAUUACUGCCAGCCAAUUUUUCCUGUUUCCAAUUGUGAAAAGAGAGCCCCGGGAAACUGGUCAUGGACAGAGAAUCAGUCUCUUCUGUGUGAAGUACUCUGGGUCUUCAGCUACACAGUUAUACCAGUAAAAGAUUACCACAGUUAUUAGAAGAUGACUAAAAUGGGAAUAUCUCAGUUAUUG